CCCAGUUGCAAGACAGUGCUGGUGGCUACCAGCAGAGGCCAAAUUCAGCUGGGUGUCUCAGAAGCAUCAGGGCAGCCCCUUUUAGCUCUUAGCUCAGUUCAUGACACAGCCUGCACUUUAGAGAGAUUCCUUUGCACUUUGAGAAGCAACUACUGAACACAGCAGCAGCAUUCACCUCUUUAAUUGAUGUUUCAAAGAAGAGAAAUGCAUCAUCAGUUUUCCUCUUGUGAAGCUCCCGAGAAAAGAAGAAUUUCCUAAAUCCUGAAGCAAAGAAGCAUAAACUAGUGAGUGCAAAGGCAGAAAAAAGCAGUAACAUUCUGGAGAUAAAAUGUAAAGUGAAAUGAUAUUGUACCUCUACUUUGGAGGGGAUUAUUUUUUUUCUCCUAGAACCAACAACCAAACACCUGAAAAGAGUGAGAAGUUCUGCUAUUCUGAUGUUUCUCCUUUGCAAAGUCAAAAAAGAUCCCUACACAUUUUUUGAAAAUAAGAAGGCCUGUGAAAAUUCUGAAGUGUCUGAUUCAUGCGAGAAUUGACAAAGUGAGACAUUCAGAUUGUUUCAUAGAUACUGCAGUUGCUCAUGAACUGUAGGUGGCUUUUCAUCAGCUUCA